AUUGAACGCUGGCGGCAUGCCUAACACAUGCAAGUCGAACGGCAGCACGAGUGGUUUCACCCUCUGGCGUGAGAGGCGCGGGGGUGUGAUACACGUGGACAAAUCACCUAUUAGGAGGGGGCAACGCCGAGGAAACGUGGCUAAUACCGGCUAACACCCUGAGCAGGAUGGGUCACUAGUGGCAGACGGCUUUAUUGUUACUAGUUGAUUGAUCGGCGCCGGAUUAGCUAGUUGGUAUGGUAACGGCCUACCAAGGCGACGAUGAGUAGCCGGGCUGAGAGGAUGACCAGCCACACUGGAACUGAGACACGGCCCAGACUCCUACGGGAGGCAGCAGUGGGGAAUCUUGGACAAUGGGCGAAAGCCUGAUCCAGCAAUGCCGCGUGUGUGAAGAAGGCCUUCGGGUUGUAAAGCACUUUUGUUAGGGAAGAAAGCAUGUGCAAUAAUAGCGGCUGGGGAUGACGGUACCGAAAGAAUAAGCACCGGCUAACUACGUG
rnacentral:rRNA from 1 species